GACGUCCCUCCUCUCUUCCGCCUGAGUGUGUGUGUGCGCGUGUGCACCCUGUUUUGAGGAAGUAGCCGCUUGCUAGCUACUAGCAUCGAUCAAGUUCGUCGUCAAACAUGCUCUGAUUGCACGCCUGGCUGGAGAAGAUGGCAGUGUGUGCACUGACCAUGCUGGACGGGAUGGGUGGCGAGGCCACAGCGGUGGGGGGGGCCCUGCUUGUGGCCCUGGCGCUGGUCCUGGCCUGGCUCUCCACACACGUGGCGGAGCGCAGCGACCACAUCCUGGGCACCAUCCUGUCGGCAGGCGCUCACGCCUCCCUCAUCGGUGUGGGCGGGGAUGCGGGCGGCGACGUCCAGGUGGAUGCCCCGGAGCAGACGGGCGGCGAGACGGAUGAGGUGGCCUCGCCGGAAGACGCUGACCUGCUGCUGGACAUUCAGAGCAAAGCACCCCCCGGGGGCAGGAUUCACGCUUCGGACGAGGAGGAAGACGAGGAUUACGGUGAAGAAGAAGAGAGAGUGCGGGCUUAUAAAAAGGACAUGUCUACCACUCCGUCCUUUUGCGUGCGACUCAAGUUUUUAAACGACACAGAGGAAGUGGCCGUGGUCAAACCUCACCACACUGUGGACCAACUCAAGAGUAAGUACUUCUCUGGGCGUGAGCAUCAGAUCAAGCUGAUCUACCAAGGGCAACUCCUGCAGGACUCCAAGAGGACUCUGCUGUCCCUGAACGUGACUCACAACAGCGUCAUCCACUGCCACGUCUCGCAGGCCCCGCACGACGGCAGCCCUGAGGCGGGGGCCGCCGGCUCUCCCCAGGGGGCGCCCGCCGUCUCCGGGGGCCUGCGGGCGGCGGGCGUGGCCGUCAGCACGGGCAGCCUGGUGGUACCCGUGUUUGUGGUGAUCCUGGCCGUGGUGUGGUAUUUCCGCAUCAACUACCGCCAGUUCUUCACUGCGCCCGCCACCAUCUCCCUGGUGGGUGUCACCAUCUUCUUCAGCUUCCUCAUCUUCGGCAUGCACGGCCGCUGAAGAAACCCGUUGGCAUGUAACACUAGCACGGCCCUGAAACUCCCAUAUUUGGACCAUUCAUAUGCUGAAAACCAAAGAAAAAAAACAAAACAAGCAGAAGUCCACCCACCUGCAUUUUUUCCCCUCACCGGAUGCUUUUGGCCAAUCCUGCUAACACACUAACCCAUUUCCACAGGGGAGGGGGAGAAAAAAAAAAGACCUGUGAUCAAGCUUUCAUUUCUGCUUUGUUAGCUCUCGUUUCUCCAUCCAUGAUUCAAGCCCAACAUUUUUUCUGUGGUGUGAAGAAAUUAAUUUAAAGGCUGAGAUGCUGUAUUGUUAAAGUAGAACAGGCCUAGUGUCUUUUGAUGUGUACAAUGUUGUGUAUUUAGUGUAAAUAAAAUGAAUGAAUGAAUGAAACAAAUGAAUCUGGCACUUAUGAGAAAAAAAACAUCUGGAGUCUAAUGUCUCCAAUUAAAAGCAUUACAAAAAAAAA